CAGCCACGGUUCCUACCAGACACACUUCUGGCUCCCUCAGAGAAGGGGAAAAAGCACUUGUUGACGCCUCUGAAAAACAGCGUGUAGAGACAGCAUCCUUCUUCCGGUUACUGAUCCUACAGAGAGGGAUGAUGAUCUCUUAAUUUUGUGUGUGGACCAGCAUUUUGACAUCUUACACUGUCCUCCUGUCCAGCGCAGGCAUUUAUUUCCAAGGCACUGGCCUCUCUGGUGUCUGAAAAAUCCCAUGUUGUAACUGCAUCAGGGCCCUUAGCCCAUUCCUUAACUUCGGCCCUUAACUGAACAAAGUUCUUUACUUGUUCAUUGCAGUACUCAGGGCCAACCCUACUAGCAGAUAUCAGUAUCUCCUCAAAAAUUACGUGAAAUAUGAGAUUCAAAGCCAGGCAGCCAAUGCAAAGCGAAGCCUUAAUAGCGGUCAACAUUGUUACUCUAAUUAUUAUACCAUCAUCUCCCUCGAGUUCCAUCGAGUAUCCUUGGCAGGUGCAGCCCCGCGCCCAGGGCUCUGAGCGGUUUCCGAGGCCUCACGCGCUGGCGGGGCUGUUGAGAUCGGUUGGGGGCUCCCAGGCCGCGAGGCGCGCUGCCAGUUGGGAUGAAAAUGGCGGAUGAGGCCGGGCGCGGUGGCUCACGCCUGUGGUCCCAGCACUUUGGGAGGCCGAGGCGGGCGGAUCACAAGGUCAGGAAAUCGAGACCAUCCUGGCGAACACUGUGAAACCCCGUCUCUUCUAAAAAUACAAAAAAAAAUUAGCCAGGCGUGGUGGCGGGCGCUUGUAGUCCCAGCUACUCAGGAUGCUGAGGCAGGAGAAUGGCGUGAACCCGGGAGGCGCAGCUUGCAGCGAGCCAAGAUGGCGCCGCUGCACUCCAGCCUGGGCAGCAGAGCGAGACUCCAUCUCAAAAAAAAAAAAAAAAAAAAAGAAAAGAAAAGAAACUGGCGGACAAAGGAAGAGAUCCUCCUUCAGGCAGGGUAGGGAAGAAGGGCACUCGGUGACCAGAGACCUUUUCCAGGACCAUGUCUUUGAAGCAAAUCUCAGCUCUUGUCUUCCGGAAGCGAUGGAGACAGAAUCCAGAAGCCUGAGAAGUUUCUGAGCUAUCUAAUUACCAAGUGCAGGGCACAGAGCCGUGAUGAGGGAGACAUGAUCUCAGUCUGGAAGACAGACUAUUAAGCCAAAUAUUCCAAAACACUGUGGAGGGUGUUGUGAAUUGGAAACCAAGGACGGAUCACAGCUUGGGAGGAUCAAGACUCUCUCCUUUCCUGGCUUUGAUGAAGCAAGCUGCCACACUGGAGAGGCCUACAUGAUAAGGACCUGAAGGUGGCCUCCAGCUAGCUCCAGCCAACAGUUGGCAAGGAAUUGAGGACCUGAGUCCAAUAGACCUUGAGGAACUGAAUCCUGCAACAGCUACACAAGUGAGCAUGGCAGUGUAUCCUUCCCCAGUAAAGCCUUCAGAUGAGACCCCAGCCCCAGCUGACACCUUGAUUGAAGCCUUGUGAGAGACCCUGAAGCAGAGAAACCAGCUAGGCCUUGCCUGGAUUCCUGAUCCACAAACUGCUUUUGUGAUGCCCUAUAAUUACAUGAACUCUACUAAAAAGAGGGAUACUGGAAAGAAGAAUAAUGUUGAGACACCUUUGCAGAAGAAAAAACAACUUCCUCUCUUCCUCUACUUCACUCUGGCAAGUUCUCCAACCUGACAAGCCAGUAGGGGACAGUUUUGCUCUUGUCGCCCAGGCUGGAGUGCAAUGGC
rnacentral:lncRNA from 1 species